UACGUAGGUGGCGAGCGUUGUCCGGAUUUACUGGGCGUAAAGAGCGCGCAGGCGGCUGGUCAAGUCCGAUGUGAAAGCUCCCGGCUUAACUGGGAAAUUGCAUCGGAAACUGAUCGGCUGGAAGGUGGGAGAGGGUAGCGGAAUUCCCGGUGUAGUGGUGAAAUGCGUAGAGAUCGGGAGGAAGGCCGGUGGCGAAGGCGGCGCUCUGGAACGUACCUGACGCUGAGACACGAAAGCGUGGGGAGCAAACAGG
rnacentral:rRNA from 1 species